rnacentral:lncRNA from 1 species
GAAUGUUUUAAAGGGAUAAACAGCUGCAUUAUAAAGACUGCAUAGUCUUCAUAAUGCAACCUUCUGCCAAUGCCAUAGUUGUCAGCACACAGAGCUAAAUGCAGCACACCUGGUCCUUUGCAUGUUUGUGUGACUCCAUGGUUGUGUGAGCGGUGCGUCUGUGAGCUAUGAAUGGGUAGAGAGGGGUGUUCUCUCCCAGACACCAUAGCAGCAGUGAGAUGAGGAGUGCCAUCUACUCUGCUGCACAUUUGCUGCACUAGCAGAGGAGGAAGACGAAGGGGGAAAAAGGGAGGAAGAAGUUGCACAGUCGGUGUUUGAACAAGCACAAGGUGAUCUCCAUCUAAAGUGAAUCCUCUGAGGCAAUGGAACAAAAGACCAGCGAGUCUCCCACCUCCACCUCUCCCCAGAGGCAGUUGAAGAACAGGUCCAAAUCUAUAGAGGAGACACAGCAUUCAAAGAGGGUGAGCAGGUCUUCAUCAGACAUCCUAUAGAGAACAUAUUUUUUCCUAUUUGUCCCAACCUAUUUGGCUGCUUGUGCUGUUUUAUCCGACAGACCUUUGCGUCCCAAAAGUCACUCCCUGGGAGGCCUGAACUGGAGAGAGUGAAGGUGAGCUGUGUGCACAGGGAUGUUUGAAGAUAGAAAAUAAUAACCAUAAUUAUGUCAUGCUUCUGGUGUCCCUGGAGGUUCUAUUAUAGUUAGAAAAAUCAAGCUUUUCUUCUCUGUGUGUUCCAGGAGAUUCCUGAUGAGACACCCACGGCCUCCACUGAAGAGCUGAAGUGAACAAUCAUUGUCCUGUCAUCAUGAAGAUCAACACAUGUACAUAUGAAACAAAUAAUGUGGAUAUUGGUUUCAUUAUAGAACAUUAAUAGCAAAUAAGGUUUGAAAAACACAAGACACCGCAUUGAUUUUAAACGCACAUGCACACACAGACACACACACAUCCAUUAGUGGGGAUGAAGCUUUCUCAUUGUGCUGUUAGUUACGUGACGAUACCUGAUGAAUGUCUACUGACAAUAAAGCAAUGUCAUUAAGUGAAUUGUUCUUUAUU